AAAGGGUCUUGAGCUGCAUGUAUUUGAAAAAAGGACUUGAGCUAUAUGUUUCUCAAAAUAUAAAGGACUUGAGCUAUAUCUCAUCCUGGGAUAUGAUAAUCGAAAGGUGUUGAGAUAUAUGUUUUUUUCAGAUAAAAAGGACCUGAGCUGUAUGUUCUAAUAAUAUAAAGGACUUAGGCUAUAUGAUCUAAUAAUAAAAGGUCGUGAGCCAUGUGUUUCUCCUAAUAAAAAAAGGAGUUGAGCUAUAUGUUUCUCAAAAUAUAAAGGACUUGAGCUAUUUGAUUUUAUGAUUUUAAUGAAAAACAAGGACUAUAGCUACAUUUUUAUAAGAAUUGAAAGGUCUUUAGCUAUAUGUUUUAAAUAUAAAAAGGACUUCAGCUAUAAGUUUUUCCUAGAUCUUGCUACAGACGGUUUCCCAGUUAGACUUCAGCCUGUAGUUUUUGGUCCAAGCUUUACUCAGUGACUGGCCUGAUGUAAAGUGUAGUAAUCCAGUGUUAUGCUACAGGUAAACUGUGACACAGCAGAGGAAAGGACUGACAGAUGGGGAGCACUGAUAUCCACUUCUCUAUAUAGAACCGAACAGAGGAUGCCUGGGAUAAGAUAACGGAUGCGGAACCUGUGUACGGAGAAAGCAGAAGACGCGACGUGAGCAACAUCAGUCAUGCUAUAGAAGAUUAUGAGGAUC